AGGUUAACUGAAUAAGGGAGCCGAAGGGAAACCGAGUCUUAACUGGGCGUUGAGUUGCAAGGUAUAGACCCGAAACCCGGUGAUCUAGCCAUGGGCAGGUUGAAGGUUGGGUAACACUAACUGGAGGACCGAACCGACUAAUGUUGAAAAAUUAGCGGAUGACUUGUGGCUGGGGGUGAAAGGCCAAUCAAACCGGGAGAUAGCUGGUUCUCCCCGAAAUCUAUUUAGGUAGAGCCUUGAGCGGACACCUUCGGGGGUAGAGCGCUGUUUCGGCUAGGGGUCCAUCCCGGAUUACCAACCCGAUGCAAACUGCGAAUACCGAAGAGUGAUACUCAGGAGACACACGGCGGGUGCUAACGUCCGUCGUGGAGAGGGAAACAACCCAGACCGCCAGCUAAGGUCCCCAAGUCUAUAUUAAGUGGGAAACGAAGUGGGAAGGCUUAGACAGCUAGGAUGUUGGCUUAGAAGCAGCCACCAUUUAAAGAAAGCGUAAUAGCUCACUAGUCGAGUCGGCCUGCGCGGAAGAUGUAACGGGGCUCAAAUAUAGCACCGAAGCUGCGGCUUUCAGAGGACAGAUUACAGAAGACAGAGGACAGAGAAAUGAUGAUUGAACAUCGAAUAAAAGAUUACAGCGAUUUAACGGUGUGGCAGUUAGCUUACAAAAUGUCAUUAGAAAUACAUCAAGUAAGUUUAAGUUUACCGAAAAUAGAACAGUUAGAGCUAGGUAAUCAAAUGCGAAGAGCAAGUAAAGGCAUCUGUGCAAACCUUGCAGAAGGCUUUGGAAAACAAAGUGUAAGUAAAGCAGAAUUUAAACGCUUUAUCUUAAUGGCAAUGGGCAGUGCAGAUGAAAUGCGAGUGUGGCUAAUGUAUAGCAGAGAUUUAGGAUAUCUGAGUCAAGAAAGGUAUCAGUAUUUUGAAGCAAAUUACCGCAAUAUCGCUAAAAUGCUAAACGGCUUACAUAAAAGCUGGCAAUAAUCAUUUUUCUGUCAUCCGUCUUCUGUCAUCUGUCCUCUGACAGGGUAGGGGAGCGUUGUGUAAGCCGAUGAAGGUGGAUUGAGAAGUCUGCUGGAGGUAUCACAAGUGCGAAUGCUGACAUAAGUAACGAUAAAACG
rnacentral:rRNA from 1 species